GCCGGGCAUGGUGGCACAUGCCUAUAGUCCUAGUUACUCAGGAGGCUGAGGCAGGAGGAUCACUUGAGCCCAGGAGAUCAAGGCUACAGUGAGCCAUGAUUGCACCACUGCACUCCAGCCUGGGUGACAGAGUGAGAUCCUGUCUCAA
rnacentral:SRP_RNA from 2 species